rnacentral:rRNA from 1 species
AGUGAACGCUGGCGGUAGGCCUAACACAUGCAAGUCGAACGGCAGCACAGGAGAGCUUGCUCUCUGGGUGGCGAGUGGCGGACGGGUGAGGAAUACAUCGGAAUCUACUCUGUCGUGGGGGAUAACGUAGGGAAACUUACGCUAAUACCGCAUACGACCUACGGGUGAAAGCAGGGGAUCUUCGGACCUUGCGCGAUUGAAUGAGCCGAUGUCGGAUUAGCUAGUUGGCGGGGGAAAGGCCCACCAAGGCGACGAUCCGUAGCUGGUCUGAGAGGAUGAUCAGCCACACUGGAACUGAGACACGGAACAGACUCCUACGGGAGGCAGCAGUGGGGAAUAUUGGACAAUGGGCGCAAGCCUGAUCCAGCCAUACCGCGUGGGUGAAGAAGGCCUUCGGGUUGUAAAGCCCUUUUGUUGGGAAAGAAAUCCAGCUGGCUAAUACCCGGUUGGGAUGACGGUACCCAAAGAAUAAGCACCGGCUAACUUCGUGCCAGCAGCCGCGGUAA